rnacentral:lncRNA from 1 species
GAAAAUAUGAUAGGCUAAUUUAAAAUGGUCUAUUAAUGCAUAUUGUGAAAAUGAUGGGUUUGCAUGUCAAAUUACCCAAAAUUUGAGCUAGUGGUUGGCCAUGCUAUGGUUGGAAACAUGUUGGGAACAUGUUGGCCUAGUGAGGUAUGUAGGAAAAAAAUAAAAUAAGGGGCAUGGGCAUAAAAUAAUGAAAAGGAGUAUGAUGGAUACAAAAAAA